rnacentral:lncRNA from 1 species
CAACGUUGAUCAUUGACCAAUGUUCUCGAUUCAACCGAUCAGUUUUUGGCCGGAGGAUGGUAGAUGGGAGUUGGUGAUGCGUACGUUGGCGCUGGGGGGUGGUACUCAGGCUCAGGCUUUGGUUUGGGCUCAGGCUUAGGCUUCGGUGGCACAGGUUUCUUGUGGAAGUGGUCAAAGAACUUGUGAUAGUCAUGGUCCUUGUGGAAGUGAUCAAGGAAGUGCUUCUUGUCAAACGAUAUUUCUUUCACAACCGGAGGGUGGUAGAUCGGAGUCGGAGACCCGUAUGUGGGUGUCGGGGGGUGGUACUCAGGCUUAGGCUGCGGCUUUGGCUUUGGUGGCACGGGCUUCUUGUGGAAGUGGUCAAAGAUGUGGUGGUAGUCAUGGUGUUUGUGGAAGUCAUCGUGCAAGGGAUUCUUGUCGAACAAGUGCCUGGCAGGAGGGUGGUAGAUUGGUGUAGGUGACCCAUAUGUUGGCGUUGGUGGGUGGUACUCAGGCUCAGGUUGAGGUUUGGGCUCUGGCUUGGGCUUGGGUGGCACAGGCUUCUUGUGGAAGUGGUAAAAAAAGUGGUGGUAGUCAUGGCCUUUAUGAAAGUGAUCAGGCUCAGGCUGCGGCUUAGGCUGCGGCUUGGGCUCCGGCUUUGGCUUUGGUGGCACGGGCUUCUUGUGGAAGUGGUCGAAGAAGUGGUGGUAGUCGUGGUCCUUAUGAAAAUGGUCGAGCAAGGGCUUCUUGUCAAACAAAUGUCUAGCUGGAGGGUGGUAGAUCGGUGUGGGUGACCCGUAUGUUGGAGUCGGAGGGUGGUAUUCUGGCUGUGGCUUGGGCUCUGGCUUCGGCUUUGGUGGAACUGGCUUCUUGUGGAAGUGGUCAAAGAAGUGGUGUGGCUUAGGUUCUGGUUCUGGUUUGGGUUCUGGCUUCGGCUUCAGCGGAGAUGGCUUCUUGUGGAAGUGGUCCAAGAAGUGGUGAUAGUCGUGGUCCUUGUGGAAGUGAUCAACCAUGUGCUUCUUGUCGAACAACUGCCUUGCUGGAGGAUGGUAGAUUGGAGUUGGGGAUCGAUAUGUUGGCGUAGGGGAGUGGUACUUCGGCUGCGGCUUAGGUUCUGGCUUUGGCUUUGGCUCUGGCUUCGGCUUCGGUGGCACAGGCUUCUUGUGGAAAUGGUCCAACAGGUGCUUCUUGAUCGGCCCGCAUAGGGUUGCCGACGCGCAUUCUGCCGACGGGUAGUCUGUCUUGCCAGGGACCACGACGAAGUUGCCAUCGGACGACUGCGGCACAAUCCUGGAAGGUUCCUGACCGGGGCACGGGGUGCCCGCGGCGCUGUGGAGCUGCGCAACGCAGUCAGCGGCGUGCAUGUCCGUGCUCAGCGGGAUGCUGAAGGCGCCGGAGACAUCUAGCUUGCCUAUGGCCUUGCUCUCGUACUCGCCUUUGCUGUUCCUGCACUUGAUCGCCACCUCAAGACCUGAAAUGCAUGGAUCGAAAAGCACCGUCAGUACCAGCAGCUAGCUUCUUCUGACCUUACUGAUCAGCUUAAAGCAUUGAGUAUCCACUGUUUAUGUUAUUAGCUUAAUUAAAUAUGCAUGUAUAUUAUUCCUAGUAUAUUUACCCUUGAAUGCCGCUUCGGCCUUCAUGUUCUUCCUGGUGCAAUCGGCGCAUUUGGCGAGGCCGAUAACCACCGAGGACGCCUCACUGGAGGCAGCGCUUGCGACGGCUAUUACCAUCAGCACGGCGAAAAUGCCGGGGAGAAGGCCCCCAUGUACCGCAGCCAUGGCUAGAUGGAUGACUCGAUGAGAUGAAGAAGAGGCAAUGCAAUGCCUGCCUUAUAUAGGCCUACGCAUUGAUCAAACACAGCUCGAUCUUACAUGCAUGCACGCAUGAUCACGAGCUGGUGAGGACUGAGGCGCCAGCACACAUAAUUUUGGCGCCGAAAUUGCAGACCGGCCGGGAAUUAAUGCCGUCCAUUUGAGUUGAUCAAUCUCUGUCUGUCCAUUCAUCAUGUCCAGUCGGUUGGUAGUAGUUGGAGUUGUGUAAGUUACGUCAGUUGCGGCACUUUGGAUUUGCAUGCAUGCAGCGCCAGUACAUGCCCUGUGUAAUGCAGGUUUCCAUUGGUCACAUCGGAAAAGCAAAGCUUGUAAAAGCGCGUGUCCGGUGUGCUCAUCUGCUGGACAAUAAAUUUCAGAACAGUAUAGUAUAGUUUGGUUUGUUUCAGAAAAGGGACAGUACUUUCGGAAUGUGGAUACAAAAUAAGUUCUUUCUGACCGCGUGUAGUUGGAUACAACAUAUAGUAGCACAAAAAAGCUCUAUGAUGACGGUAGUGUCUAAUUUAUAGACGCGGCGAGCCCAAUUCAAGAACCGCCACUGUAAACCCAUUUACACUGACAGUUCACUUAAGGAAACUGUCAGUGUCAAUAGUGCAUUUCCACUAGCGGUUUCCUUAAGUGCUGUGCAAAUAGAUUUACACCAGUGGUACCUUAUGUCAGCCGCCAGUGAAGUUUUUGGUAUAAAUACUCAUUCUUCCUCCACGAGUAGAACUGUUUCUCACAACCACCUUCUAUUAGAGGCCAUUUUGGAGGUCUAGAUUUUUAGGAGGUUGCUAAGAAAUGUUAGUUUAUAUCUCUCUUGCCUCUUUUUGUUCAUUCUUGCUCAAUUUGAACCACUUUAUGGAUCUAGGAUUUCACCAUAUGUUAGAGAGAAGAAUAGCUAGGUUAUUAUCUUUAUUUGCUCAAAUGAUCUUAAGAUUGUUAGAUGAUGUCUCUCCUCUAUCCCUUUUUAUUUUUGCUUCUCACUUUAGUUUAUCCAAGAUAUAUUUAGUUAUUUUCAUGAAUUGUGUGUUCUUGUCUAUUUAUGUAGAUAGAGAAAUAUAGGUUCUUUUGUUAGUUUUAUAAAUUGUGUAGUUUUUUGUCUUCAUUUCUCAAUUUGAUUUAAUUAUCCACUAUGUAUUUAUGUUUCAUGAAUGGUGUGUUUGUAUGUAGAGGGGAAGAUAGGUUUCUUAAUUAAUUAAGAUUAUUGUGUUUAUUAAUUAGAAAAUAUGAAAGAGGUUUCUUUGUUUACCACUAUGUUGUUGACUGAGGUUACUUAGUACGGUUAAUUUUAUUCUUCUAACUUUUAGCGAACCUUGCUUCAAGGUCUAUAAAUUGGAAAAUAUACAAGUGGGAGGUUUUCAUCUUCAUUUCUUCGAAAGAGGUUGGUGAUCAAAAGAUUAGAUAAUAAAUAUCUCUAGACAAUCAUACUUGUUUUGCAUUGAUUAUAAUUAAUUCAUUAUAUUUUUUAUAUGUAAUGAUGGAGAGGUCAUUUUGGAUGUAUAAUUUAUCAAGACUAAAUCCAUCAUAUAUACCCGAGGUCCCUAGGUUUUUUGAUGCUGACUAAGAACCAUGCUUGGAGAACAAAGAUGAAGCACAUCUAUUGUCCAUGCAUAGACUGUACAAAUGUUAUUGUAUUUGAUGACACUAAAUCAAUCAUUUAUUAUUUGGUCUAACAAGAAUUUAUGAUGGAUUACUUGUUUUGGACAAAGGGUAGCUUGCGCCUUAUACAAAUAGAAACCUUACGAACAUCGACGUUGAUGCUGAUGGAUUUCCGUUCCUACAUGAGAUACAACAACCUCUUUCCUAGAGUGAACAUGUUGUGCCAAAUGUUACGGUUAUGGAAGAUGUAGAAUUCUUAGGGUAAAGUUGCAUCAUCAUAUGGAUCCAUGAAUAUUAUUAAUGAAAGGUAUGGAAGCCCUGAUAAAGGCUGCAGAAGAGACUUUGCACGACGAGUCUAAGGGUUAUACCAAAGAGUUCAUGACACUGCGGUCUAUGCUAAAGUUGUCGAUGUUAAAAGCUAGAUAUGGUAUGUCUGAUGCUGGCUUGGAUGCAUUCUUGUGUAUUAUUGCAGACAUGCUUCCAAAGGGAAACAAUGUGUGUGCUAAGACGUACUAUGUAAAGAAACUAAUCAGUCCGCUCACUAUGGGUAUGGAGAAGAUCCACGCGUGUCAUGAUGACGAUGAUUAUAAGGACUUAGAGAGUUGUCCAAAGUGUGGUGCAACUACGUACAAGACAAAUAAAGACUAUCGAGAGAAAGAGUGUGUUGCCUCCAUUUCUAAAGGAAAGAAGCGAAAGGAGACCAAAUAGAACAAACAAUAAAGUUCAAAAUCUAGAAAAAUAUUCCUACUUUGAUGAUGUGGUGUAACACCCUAGUGUUAAGUAUGCAUUAAGGCUUCAUCAAACUUAUAUGAGCAUUGGCACAAGCAUGAGCAUCUCAUGUGUUGUGCUAUAUUUUAUGCAUAUCUUUUAAAUGUGAAUUAAUUUUGAUAAUUGUCAUGCUAUGUCUAAAAAUGCUUGUUAUGCCUAGAUUAAAUUGUUUUAUGCCUAAACUUAAAUUAGAAAAUUUAAGUACCAUUUUUGGAGCCCUAGAAUUAAAGGAGUUGAUUUAAAUUAAAAUUUCGCAAAAUAGAUUUAUUUCAAACCUAGAACUAACUUUAAAUUGAAAUUCAAAAUCCAUUUGGAUUCUUGAUUUGCACCAUAAAGCAAAGUUAUAGAGAAUUUUAUUUUGAGCAACUUUUAUUUUUGGGUCAACUCCUGAAAAUGCAUUUAAAACAGUGUUUAAAAAUUAAUUGAGAAAAUAAAUUCAAAAAAAAGAGAAGGGAGGAGCGCCCUACUGGGCCACGCACCUUGCUUCUGGCCCAGCAGCCAAAGCCGGCCUGGCUCGUGAGCACAUCCCCUUCCUCCUCAGGCGCGCACUGUGGCCAGGUGACGUCGUGGCCGACCGUGCGUAGGCCAGCCGCGCCACGUGGAUGGCAAGCAACGGCAGCGGCUACGACAGUGCCUGCUUGCCCGAGCAGAAGGGGACGACAGCGGCUCUGCGUUGUCCACCUUCUCCACUCCACCCCGACCACACCUCUCUUGCUCUCGUCUCACAAAGCAGAGCUUGACAGCACCAUCGUCCGCCAUAGCCGCUACCGAGCUCCAGCGUCGACGUUCCAUCUUGUUGGUCGCUCCCGCCCUCGAUUCCUCCUGUCCACCGCUCCGUCUUCAUUCUCCUCAUCUCUGAAUGAGUCGGAUUGCCUCCCUUGGCUCAAGGUGAGGGAUAGCCGGCUGUCUUCUUCUUCUCUAGUGUGAACGUCGCAGCGGUUCAUGUGGUCAGCAAGGCCGCCGAGCCUCUUCCUCCUUCCUUUUGCGCGCAUCACAUUCGCCUUGACCUCGCCAAGCUCGUGCGUGCUCUGGUUCAUGCUCUACGCCGGAGUUCGUGAGUCCACCAUCCAGCAGAGCCAUCGUGCCGCCAUGGCCGGCGACGAGCUUGCUUCGGGGUGUCUCCAGACAAACCACCGCGCGCAUCCUGUUCGCCUAGGCUCGGGGAACACACAUGAGUGCUCGGUGUUGCCGUAGGGUUCACCGACAGCGAGAUCAGGCUCGCCGGAGUUCUCCCCCUCUCUGUGUGGCUAACAGGUGGGGUCGAGGACCCACUUGUCUAUACCUGUGUGCGGAUGCGGGUGCACUGCACCGGGUACACCUAGUAGAACUCGCCGAGACUUGAUUCUCAAUUUAAAGAAAUGUUUUUCAGAUAAUGGUUUAAAGCUUGUAAAAAUCAUAGCUUGAUUUCUAUUGCUCCAAAAAGUUUAAACAAAUUUUGUUAUGCUCUAUAUUAGUAGAUCUAAAGUUCGGUGUACUUGGUGUGAGACUUUUCUGUGAAGGUUUAUUUAAAUCUUGAAAAUAUUGAUUUCUUAUAAAAUAUGCAAAAAAUAAAAUAUAGCUCUGAAAAAUGUACUUCCUAUCUUGGUACAUUUGCACUACAAUCUAGCCUCUGUGAAAAAUGAGGAACCUAAUAUUACUCUACAAAAAUAAUUAUUAGUGAAUUAAUGCUUGCAUGAUGAUGGUUUAAGAUUUUUAAUAAAUAAUAUAUAAAUGCAAUUAAUCUAAGAAUUUUUGUAGGGCUCUCCUAUGUUACAAAGUAUUAAGGAAAAAUAUUAAAUUUGUUGUCUGACACUUUUGUAUGUAUAGAGUAUUUUCCAUUGUUUAUGUUUAGCAUACUUGUGAUUUUUGUGUGGGCCAUUUUACUUACCCAAAUUUUGUGAAAGUUUUAUGGUAGACUAUAUGUGUGAUCUAUAAGCUACUGUAAUUUUUAUGGAACUUAUUGAAUACCAGAGGUAUAUGUUGUUGUUAUUGGCCUAGUAAUAAAUAAAUAAAUAAAGAAUUAUUUUAUGUGAACUUGAAAGUAAUUAAACAGUUUGGUGUAUCUUUGAAGCAUUCUAAUGUGUGCUGCUUUAUCUUGGUAGGUGUAGAAAAAGAAUAGAAUAGAAUAACUUGUACUUAAGUUACAUGUUCUUGGAUGACAUUGACUACCUAGUACAAAUAGAUCACAUUGUCUUUUUGUCAUGACUCCCCUCUACCGGAGAGGAGAUAUGCACAUACUCAGUAAAUAACACAUCAUGACCACCCUUGUGAUCAUCUGCAUAAUCAUGCACCAUAUGUUCACCAUCCACUUACUUGAGCAUAUGCAUCAUACAGGCUCGUAGAAGAACGACGUGGUGACCGAACCUGAGGAGCCGGAGGUGACCGAGGUGCAGGAGAUCACUGAGGUGGAAGAGCAAGAAGAGGAGCUGCAAGAGUGUCUAGAUCACAGUCCUAGUUCUUUCGAGAAAGGCAAGCCUUGCUCCCCAAAUUUUCUGCUAAUUAUAUAUAUAUCAUGAUGGUUAUAUUGUUAUAUUAAGUUAUAGGAGUUGCUUGAUACCAUUGAUGUAUUGAAUAUCCCUUGGAAUAUCACCUUUCUACAUACCUUAUCCUAUGUAGUAUGGGCUCAGAGUCAAUGCUUAGCUCUGCUUAGCACAGUAGAAGUCGGAUGAUUCCCUGUCACCUGCGAGCUGUAGGUGGUCACCAAAGGUUUGGCAGUAUGUUUGCUAUCAUAAGUAAUAACCAAAUGUUGGGAAGCAAAGCUAAGACCGGACGAAACCUUUUGGGGGUGUUGGACCAUAGUGAUUCUGUCCUUGUCGAUUAAGGACCGAUCAUUGGUGGUCCUCUUGUCAUGUUGAACGCAUACCCUACACUUAACUUGAAGGAUAAGUUGUUCUGACUGUGAAGGUGGGACGCUAUUUGGGCCAGGAAUUGACCUGAUGUACGCACUGUAUUGGAGAUAGUUGAGGAGACUGAUGAGGGCGCGACGUGCAACCUUGGUAUGCCUUGGAUACCUUUGUCAUCGGAACGGUCCUUGGGUAUGGUGGUGCCUGCUGAACCGUGAAUUGGUCCUGAAUAGUGCAUCCGGUGACCUGUAGCUUACUUGAUCAGUGAGUGUGGCUUAUGUAGGGAAUAAAAUCACUAGCUGGUUAGGAAUUGUUUCGAAUCAUCAUCGCUCCUGGAUAGUAAGCACUUGACUUGAGCUUUGUCAUCGUAUUAAUGUUUAUGGAACACUGGAUGGUUAUGAGAUAUUGAUGAAGCUGGAAAAGCUGCACUAAAUUGGUAUUAUUGUACUGAAUCAAGUGAUUGCUAUAGUACAGGUGUUAAUCUAGAUGAUAGGUUAAUGAUACUUAACUUGAGCUAAUUAUCUAAAAAGGUUAUUUACUUAGUAACUUAAGAUUUUAUGGAAAGUUUGUGUCGAGCUACCCCUUUAUACAGCCUUACAUGAUCUUUGGUGUCAUUUAUUUCUGUUUUGUGAUAGGUAAGUCUAGCUGAGUAUAUUCUCAUAAUCAGGGCUCUGUUUCCAUGUUGUUUUGCAGAUGGGCAGAUGUACUAUGGGUACUGUAUUAACUGUCUUUACCUAGCUAUGGGUGAUGCUUAGACCAAUGGUGUGGUCACUUUGUCUUAUCUUUUGAUUUUGUGGGAAUCAUCAGACUCUAGCACUGUAAUCAAACUAAGUUUGUGUGUUUUCUAAAACUAUUCACUUCCGCUACUACUUUCAAGACUUGGUUUGUAAUAACUAAAUUCAAACUCCAAUGUACUGAAAUGUUUGUCAAUGAUAUGUAUUGUAUGAAUGGCGACCACUGAACUUAUUACGAUCUCUGUUAUGUUUGAGGAAAUUUUGAGAUCCUUCGAGAUUUCAUGGACUACCGGGAUUAUAUGGGCUUAAGUCUUUUAUAAUUUGGACAGUUCUGUUACAGCUAGUGUUGGAGCCAGUUUUAGCGGAUUACAGUUCAUAAGUAUAUUUAAAACAAAUUAAAUUUGUUUACAAAAACUGAUUAUCCAUCACGAAUUAUCAAGGUGUUAAAGUGAAUUUUGGAAAAUUAUAAGUGUGCUAGUGGUCAUAUCCUUUAUGUCUAGUUAAAGACUCUAAGGUGGCUAUUUAAGUACUGACUUGUUGGUUUAUGCAUCAUAUUUCUCUUUCAUUGCUCAUAUGGCAUUGUUGACAUUUACUACCGCCAUUACUAAAAAUAUAGAUAAACCCUACCUCUAGCAACAACGGCAAAAAUGCUCGGUAUAUAAUUAACUUAUCAUUAAGCAACUAGCCACUUCUUAAUGACUAACAUUCCUAAACAUGAAGUAGGUUGUCAUCCCUAAUUAUAUUGCUAGGAAUUUAUUAUAUAUUCACAUGUACUAUUGUGACUAGGCAGAAAUAAAAGAUAUGAAUAUGAUUAUAAACUAAAUGGGUUCUAGAAGUGGACAGAUAAUUAUACCAUUGUAGGAUUUUACCUAGGGAAGUAUCCAGGUUGUCGAUUUAUAUUUAUACCACUGGGAAGGCUAUGUGUUAAACAAUAAUCUAUUAUAUUGAUAAGAAACUAUAUAGGAUGAAUAAAUGAUAUUACCAAGGUUGUCUAAUCUACUCAUAACAGGUAGAGGUCACAAGAUAAAUAUGGGUAAAUAAUAAUGAUAGCAUAAUCAUCAAGUAUCAUAUUUAUGAAUAAUCAUUAGAGCAUCUACUAGUCAUGAUCAUAGUUAGCCAUUAGAUAAACUAGGGAGUUGGAUCUAAGGUAAUUCUAUAACUACAUCACUGAAUAACUCUAAUUAGUGCAAUUACAUCUAGAAAUCAUUGUUGAGCUAACCCUAUAUCAUAGUCACAUGUAAAGAGGCAUCAACUAAUGAGGGUAUUAAGACACAAGGGUCACCUCCUUCGCGACCGUGCCCAUGCUAGUCCUACGUACGAAGGGUGGACUACAGAGGAUACGCAACUGUCACCUAUGCGGUCUACCACACGACCCGACACGUCAGAGUGCACUCGCAGAUAAACAAUAUAUCUAGACACCACGUCUACAUAUUAUCUAUCAUCAACCCAAAGAUCUAUUAGGUCAACGCUAUAUGAGCAAUUACAUGAAUUCAAUAAGAUCAAACCAACUAUCCUAGACAUAUAAUCAAAGUAGACAAUGGCUAUUGCAAUUAAGAAUAUAUGAAUCUAUUAAGAACAAAGUCUCCCUAAUAUACAAUUGAAUACUAUAAAGUAAGAACAAGAUCUAUUACCGAACUCUUGCGCUCCAGACCGAAGCUAGGGGCUCCAGAUCCCGAUGAAGAACUAGAUCUCCUCUACUUCCAAUCUAACUAACUAGAACUACGAACUAGAAGGCUCUUGAUGAACUUGAAGGCGCUUGAUGCUUGAUGGCUCGAGGCCUUGAUGAAUAAUGGAUUGGUUUAUUUCUCCAGGGGGGUCUACCCCUGUAUUUAUAGUCCGGAGGGAUGCGCGUGCGUCGUAGGAUCAAACCGACUUAACCAAGGGCCGAGAUGACUCCUCGUAGGUGGUGGAGG